UCCGUGUUAACCACGGCAGUCUCCCUAGAGUGCCCAACUUAAUGCUGGCAACUAAGGACGAGGGUUGCGCUCGUUAAGGGACUUAACCCAACAUGUCACCACACGAGCUGACGACAGCCAUGCAGCACCUGUCUUCUAGUCGUAUUGCUACGAAAGCUGCAUUUCUGCAGUUGUCCAGAGAUGUCAAACCCAGGUAAGGUUCUGCGCGUUGCUUCGAAUUAAACCACAUGAUCCACCGCUUGUGCGGGCCCCCGUCAAUUCCUUUGAGUUUUAGUCUUGCGACCGUACUUCCCAGGCGGGGAACUUAUCGCGUUAGCUCCGACUCAGCGGGGGUCAAUACCCACUAAGUCUAGUUCCCAUCGUUUACAGCGUGGACUAC
rnacentral:misc_RNA from 1 species